GUGGCUGUAGCUCAGGUAGUAGAGUGGGUCAGCUACUAACUGGAAGGUUGUUGGUUUGAUCCCAGUCUGCUGCA
rnacentral:tRNA from 1 species